AGGGGGGGGGGGGCAGGAUUGGCAGUUUCUUGCAAUAAAAACAUAUUAUUUUAAACAUAUACAAGAUAUAUAAUUACAUAGCAGUACAGAAACGGUAGUUAAUAUACAAUGUAUUUCUUUAAAAAUCUAGAGCCAAGCAAAGAAUUGGUGUAGAAUUUUCUUUUAUUUUAGAUGUUGAUACUGGUAAUAGCGAAACCCAAGGCCCGACUACUGACGCGAGUGAAGACAAUAUAGGAGACUCUGGUGGUUCUAUUGUAAGUGGUACUAUUGGUUUUAUAUGUGGUAUAAUAGUCAUGGUAGUUGUUGGUGAUGUAUAUUAGUGCUGCAAGAAAAGACGUCAGCCGAGUAAGCCUGAUUAUGUUUAUGGUAAUACAUCUUUAACAUCUACGGCACCACAACCUACUUUUACAACAUGUGACAGUCUUUAAAUCACCUAGUAUUCUUGGUUUUGUAUAAUACGUAUUAAACAAUCAUAUUAUAACUUCUUUGGAUAAUUCUUUUUAUGAUUCGGUUAUAAGCCUGCUAUAUGUCCCACAGACAUGUUUGGGUUUUAGUCUGAGCUAGCUAACCGCGGGGAUAGCGAAGAAUUAUAUAUUAUUAUGUUAUAUUUUAUGUAAUGCCUUUUUAAAAUGUAUACAGUAAAAACUAUAUAACCAUGUU